CCUGUGAAACCCAAAAGAUCGAAUGAAGAGAUUCAUCGUCAGCGUAUUCAGUAUUAAUGCAGGCUAUGAUGUGAUAAUAGAAUCCUUGUGGUCACUAGAUUAUACUUGCUUGUAUUAUUUUUGCUGGGUAUGUCGGCGUGCACUUCUCUUCUAGUAGAACGUCGCAACCCGUUGAAUGUUUAUCUAUGGUCUAAAUGGUAGCCUUUGAUAUUUCAUUAUAUUGAAGACCUUUAGUAUCCUGAUAAACUGUUUGACGGUAUACACAUAGUAUUGAGCCGCAAUUAUUUGCGUUAGACUUAUCGCAAGUAAGGCUUUAUUCUGGUAGUGCGGAUUUUAUCCCGUCGCUGGACAAAGCCUACUGUUAGCUGUGUAAUGUCUUUAACUGGCUUAUUUACUGGUUAGCGAUGCUACUGCUUUGG
rnacentral:rRNA from 1 species